rnacentral:tRNA from 1 species
GGAAAUGUAGUUCAAUUGGAUAGAAUAACAAUCUUCUAAAUUGUUUGGUGAUGGUUCGAAUCCAUCCAUUUCCA